rnacentral:rRNA from 1 species
UUCCGGUUGAUCCUGCCGGACCUGACUGCUAUCGGAUUGAUACUAAGCCAUGCGAGUCAUUGUAGCAAUACAAGGCAGACGGCUCAGUAACGCGUAGUCAACCUACCCUAUGGACGGGAAUAACCUCGGGAAACUGAGUAUAAUGCCCGAUAGAACAUUAUACCUGGAAUGGUUUAUGUUCCAAAUGAUUUAUCGCCGUAGGAUGGGACUGCGGCCUAUCAGUUUGUUGGUGAGGUAAUGGCCCACCAAGACUAUUACAGGUACGGGCUCUGAGAGGAGUGGCCCGGAGAUGGGUACUGAGACACGGACCCAGGCCCUAUGGGGCGCAGCAGGCGAGAAAACUUUGCAAUGUGCGAAAGCACGACAAGGUUAAUCCGAGUGGUUUCUGCUAAAGGAACCUUUUGUUAGUCCUAGAAACACUAACGAAUAAGGGGUGGGCAAGUUCUGGUGUCAGCCGCCGCGGUAAAACCAGCACCUCAAGUGGUCAGGAUGAUUAUUGGGCCUAAAGCAUCCGUAGCCGGCUCUGUAAGUUUUCGGUUAAAUCUGUACGCUUAACGUACAGGCCGCCGGAAAUACUGCAGAACUAGGGAGUGGGAGAGGUAGACGGUACUCGGGAGGAAGUGGUAAAAUGCUUUGAUCUCUCGAUGACCACCUGUGGCGAAGGCGGUCUACCAGAACACGUCCGACGGUGAGGGAUGAAAGCUGGGGGAGCAAACCGGAUUAGAUACCCGGGUAGUCCCAGCUGUAAACUAUGCAAACUCAGUGAUGCAUUGGCUUGUGGCCAAUGCAGUGUUGCAGGGAAGCCGUUAAGUUUGCCGCCUGGGAAGUACGUACGCAAGUAUGAAACUUAAAGGAAUUGGCGGGGGAGCACCACAAGGGGUGAAGCCUGCGGUUCAAUUGGAGUCAACGCCGGGA